CUUCUCAAUCACCAACAACCAGGAAGGCUGAUGCUCCAUUGAAUGCAUUUCAUUUGAGGAGAUAUAGUAGUGGCUCUUUGUUCCAAAAGGAUUCCCGGAGAAGCUUGAAGGAUGAGUUGAAGGAUUUGAAAGGGAAAAGAAAUGAGGAUACAAUGGGGAGUAGAGAGGCGGGGCAUGGUUCUUUGAGAUCAGUUCAGAAACCUGCAACAAGAAAUGAGGAUACAAUGGGUAGUACAGAGGCGGGGCAGGGUUCUUUGAGAUCAGUUCAGAAACCUGCAACACCUGUUAAAAUUUCAUCACUAAAGGGAAAAUCUGUUAGGACUAUCAGAGCCAGCCGAUAUGCUGCAGAGACAAUAAAAGCUGGAGAGAUGAGUAGAAACCACAUUGAUGAUAAGGUUGGAAAAAUAUGCAAUGAAGCUCAGACAGUAAACAUGGGAAAGGAUGAAAUGGAGAGAGGACCUGAUAAUAUGUUAAUUGGCGCCGAUAAAAAGAACUCUGAUGCUCAGCAUCACAUGUCAAAGCCAACCCUUUCGAAGUAUAAGAAGAAAGAAAAUGAAGUAAUUUCAGAGAGUGUUACUGUGGAGUCCACAGAAGACUCAGAAAGCGAG
rnacentral:lncRNA from 1 species